rnacentral:lncRNA from 1 species
GUAAUGGUCCAAUAAUGAAGAGUUUAGUCCAUGAAUCUUUUAUACCAAGCUCACCCAAAAUUGAUAUGUGAAACAUAGAUGUCUUUGAAUGAGUUAAGAUUAAAGCAAUAGACCCAUUUAGUAGCACCAAACGUCUCCCGACAGCAUAAUUAAAAGCAUCACUAUCAUCCACGUACGAGGGUAUGAGUGUUGUAAUGAAAGAUUCAUUGCUGAAGUCAAAUGACACCAAAUAUG